rnacentral:rRNA from 1 species
UGGGGAAUAUUGGACAAUGGAGGAAACUCUGAUCCAGCAAUUCUGUGUGUGUGAAGAAGGUUUUAGGACUGUAAAACACUUUUAGUAGGGAAGAAAAAAAUGACGGUACCUACAGAAGAAGCAACGGCUAAAUACGUGCCAGCAGCCGCGGUAAUACGUAUGUUGCGAGCGUUAUCCGGAAUUAUUGGGCUUAAAGGGCAUCUAGGCGGUAAGACAAGUUGAAGGUGAAAACCUGUGGCUCAACCAUAGGCUUGCCUACAAAACUGUUGAACUAGAGUACUGGAAAGGUGGGUGGAACUACACGAGUAGAGGUGAAAUUCAUAGAUAUGUGUAGGAAUGCCGAUGAUGAAGAUAACUCACUGGACAGAAACUGACGCUGAAGUGCGAAAGCUAGGGGAGCAAACAGG